CAGUCGCCGCGGGAAUACGAAGGGGGCUAGCGUUGUUCGGAUUUACUGGGCGUAAAGGGCGCGUAGGCGGGCGAAUAAGUCAGGGGUGAAAUCCCAAGGCUCAACCUUGGAACUGCCUUUGAUACUGUUUGUCUUGAGUUCUAGAGAGGUAAGUGGAACUGCGAGUGUAGAGGUGAAAUUCGUAGAUAUUCGGAAGAACACCAGUGGCGAAGGCGGCUCACUGGCUCAUUCUAGACGCUGAGGUGCGAAAGCGUGGGGAGCAAACAGGAUUAGAUACCCCAGUAGUCCCUGUCUCUUAUAC
rnacentral:rRNA from 1 species